CUUGACCUCGGAUCAGGUAGGGAUACCCGCUGAACUUACAACAGGGAUUGCCCUAGUAACGGCGAGUGAAGCGGCAACAGCUCAAAUUUGAAAUCUGGCGUCUUUGGCGUCCGAGUUGUAAUUUGCAGAGGGCGCUUUGGCAUUGGCAGCGGUCCAAGUUCCUUGGAACAGGACGUCACAGAGGGUGAGAAUCCCGUACGUGGUCGCUAGCCUUUACCGUGUAAAGCCCCUUCGACGAGUCGAGUUGUUUGGGAAUGCAGCUCUAAAUGGGAGGUAAAUUUCUUCUAAAGCUAAAUACUGGCCAGAGACCGAUAGCGCACAAGUAGAGUGAUCGAAAGAUGAAAAGCACUUUGGAAAGAGAGUUAAAAAGCACGUGAAAUUGUUGAAAGGGAAGCGCUUGCAGCCAGACUUGCCUGUAGUUGCUCAUCCGGGUUUUUACCCGGUGCACUCUUCUAUAGGCAGGCCAGCAUCAGUUUGGGCGGUUGGAUAAAGGUCUCUGUCAUGUACCUCUCUUCGGGGAGAACUUAUAGGGGAGACGACAUGCAACCAGCCUGGACUGAGGUCCGCGCAUCUGCUAGGAUGCUGGCGUAAUGGCUGUAAGCGG
rnacentral:rRNA from 1 species